rnacentral:rRNA from 1 species
UGCGAGCGUUAAUCGGAAUUACUGGGCGUAAAGCGCAUGCAGGCGGCCUGUUAAGUCAGAUGUGAAAGCCCGGGGCGUUAACCUCGGAAUUGCAUUUGAAACUGGCAGGCUAGAGUCUUGUAGAGGGGGGUAGGAAGUUUCUAGGUGUAGCGGUGAAAUAGCGUAGAGAUCUGAAGGAAUACCAGUGGCGAAGGCGGCCCCCCUGGACAAAGACUGACGCUCAGAUGCGAAAGCGUGGGGAGCAAACAGGAUUAGAUACCCCUGGUAG